rnacentral:rRNA from 1 species
UACGGGGGGAGCAAGCGUUGUUCGGAUUUACUGGGCGUAAAGGGCGGGUAGGCGGCCACCGCAAGUCAGUUGUGAAAUCUCUGGGCUUAACCCAGAAAGGUCAACUGAUACUGCGGGGCUAGAGUGCAGAAGGGGCAACUGGAAUUCUCGGUGUAGCGGUGAAAUGCGUAGAUAUCAAGAGGAACACCUGCGGCGAAGGCGGGUUGCUGGGCCGACACUGACGCUGAGGCGCGAAAGCCAGGGGAGCGAACGGG